rnacentral:misc_RNA from 1 species
AACGCACAUUGCGCCCGGCAGCAAUCUGCCGGGCAUGCCUGUCCGAGCGUCAUUUCCGCCCUCGAGCGCGGCCGGCCCCACGGGGCUCGGCCGCCGCCCGGUGUUGGGGCCCCUGCCGGCGCGCGAGCCCGCAGGCCCCGAAAUGAAGUGGCGGUCCCGCCGCGGCGCCCCCUGCGUAGUAGUUUUGUCACUCGCAUCGGGUCCCGGCGCCGGCCAGCCGUCGAACCUCUCUCUCUGACGUUUGACCUCGGAUCAGGUAGGGUUACCCGCUGAACUUAA